rnacentral:rRNA from 1 species
UGGGGGAUAUUGGACAAUGGGGGGAACCCUGAUCCAGCGAUGCCGCGUGGGUGAAGAAGGCCUUUGGGUUGUAAAGCCCUUUAAGUUGGGAAGAAAGGUAGUUAUUGAUAAGGUAAUUGCUAUGACGGUACCGACAGAAUAAGCACCGGCAAACUCUGUGCCAGCAGCCGCGGUAAGACAGAGGGUGCGAGCGUUAAUCGGAAUUACUGGGCGUAAAGGGCGCGUAGGCGGUGGUAGGUAGUGUGAUGUGAAAGUCCUGGGCUUAACCUGGGGAGUGCAUGACAGACGAUACGACUAGAGCAUAGGAGGAGGUACUGGAAUUUCCGGUGUAGCGGUGAAAUGCGUAGAGAUCGGAAGGAACGUCGAAGGCGAAGGCAAGUACCUAGCCUAGAGCUGACGC